GGCGGAGUAGCUCAGUUGGUUAGAGCAGCGGAUUCAUAAUCCGCGUGUCGGGGGUUCGAGUCGCUCCUCCGCUA
rnacentral:tRNA from 1 species